GAGUUUGAUCAUGGCUCAGGACGAACGCUGGCGGCGUGCUUAACACAUGCAAGUCGAGCGGUAAGGCCCCUUCGGGGGUACACGAGCGGCGAACGGGUGAGUAACACGUGAGUAACCUGCCCCUGACUCUGGGAUAAGCCUGGGAAACUGGGUCUAAUACCGGAUAUGACCUCGUGCCGCAUGGUGUGGGGUGGAAAGGUGUUUUUCCGGUCAGGGAUGGGCUCGCGGCCUAUCAGCUUGUUGGUGGGGUAACGGCCUACCAAGGCGAUGACGGGUAGCCGGCCUGAGAGGGCGACCGGCCACACUGGGACUGAGACACGGCCCAGACUCCUGCGGGAGGCAGCAGUGGGGAAUAUUGCGCAAUGGGCGGAAGCCUGACGCAGCGACGCCGCGUGGGGGAUGAAGGCCUUCGGGUUGUAAACCUCUUUUACCACUCACGAAGGCCCCUGGUUUUCUGGGGGUUGACGGUAGGUGGUGAAUAAGGACCGGCUAACUACGUGCCAGCAGCCGCGGUAA
rnacentral:rRNA from 1 species